AUUGAACGCUAGCGGGAUGCUUUACACAUGCAAGUCGAACGAGUGGCGGACGGGUGAGUAAUAUAUCGGAACGUGCCCAGUAGCGGGGGUUAACUACUCGAAAGUGUGGCUGAUACCGCAUACUAUUGGAGCGGCCGAUUUCGGAUUAGCGAGUGGGUGGGGUAAAGGCUCACCAAGGCAACGAUCCGUCGCUGGUUUGAGAGGACGACCAGCCACACUGGGACUGAGACACGGCCCAGACUCCUACGGGAGGCAGCAGUGGGGAAUUUUGGACAAUGGGGGAAAGCCUGAUCCAGCCAUCCCGCGUGUAUGAGAAGGCCUUCGGGUUGUAAAGUACUUUUGGCAGAGAAGCGGUAUCUGCAGAAUAAGCACCGGCUAACUACGUGCCAGCAGCCGCGGUAAUAC
rnacentral:rRNA from 1 species